AGCGUCAUCCUACGGGGGCAGCAGUAGGGAAUUUUCGUCAAUGGGGGCAACCCUGAACGAGCAAUGCCGCGUGAGCGAAGAAGGUCUUCGGAUUGUAAAGCUCUGUUGCCGGGGAAAAAGGAAGGAAAGAGGAAAUGCUUUUCUUUGGAUGGUACCCGGCCAGAAAGUCACGGCUAACUACGUGCC
rnacentral:rRNA from 1 species